CUAAAGAGAGAGCACACUGCAACCUCUUUAAGACCACCAGAUCGCCUCACAAACUUUGCAUUCUGCAUGUCAAGCAAUGUAACUCUUUCUCCAGGGAGGUUACUGUCUUCCAAAUGUUCUUGAUAGAUUGAUCUCGCUCUUUCAAGCUCCAUUUGUGUGGAUUGUUUCUCCUUGUUCAUGGAUAGAGUUAGGUGGAAAAUAUCAAGGG
rnacentral:misc_RNA from 1 species